GCCGGUGUAGCUCAGCGGCAGAGCAAGUGUUUCGUAAACACUAGGCCGUGGGUUCGAGUCCCUCCACCGGCUCCA
rnacentral:tRNA from 1 species